rnacentral:rRNA from 1 species
AGACGACGCUGGCGGCGUGCUUAAUACAUGCAAGUCGAACGGAGACUGUAGCAAUACUGUCUUAGUGGCGAACGGGUGAGUAACGCGUUGGUGACCUGCCCCGAAGAGGGGGAUAACAGUCCGAAAGGAUUGCUAAUACCCCAUGUGGUCGUUUGGAUUAGAUGCCUUACGACUAAACGGAUUUAUUCGCUUCGGGAGGGGCCUGCGUCCCAUCAGCUAGUUGGUAGGGUAAUAGCCUACCAAGGCGAUGACGGGUAGGGGACCUGAGAGGGUGGCCCCCCACAAUGGAACUGAAACACGGUCCAUACACCUACGGGUGGCAGCAGUAGGGAAUAUUGGUAAUCUGGGAAACCGGGAACCAGCAACGCCGCGUGCGCGAUGAAGGCCUUCGGGUUGUAAAGCGCUUUUUAAAGGGAUGAGGAAGGACAGUACCUUUAGAAUAAGCCUCGGCUAACUACGUG